GACGAACGCUGGCGGCGUGCCUAAUGAAUGCGAGUCAAACGGGGUUAGGUAAGUGAAUUGAUCCUUCGGGAUCAAUUCGACCUCCUAACCUAGUGGCAAACGGGUGAGUAACACGUGGGCAACGUGCCCCAGAGACGGGCAUAACGGUGGGAAACCACUGCUAAUUCCCGAUGGUCUGUUGGUGACUCAAGUCACCUUCAGUAAAGGCCUCGGCUGCUCUGGGAUCGGCCCGCGCCCCAUUAGCUUGUUGGUAAGGUAACGGCUUACCAAGGCGACGAUGGGUAGCUGGUCUGAGAGGACGAUCAGCCACACUGGGACUGAGACAUGGUCCAGACUCCUACGGGAGUUAGCAUCCGGGAAUCUUGCACAAUGGGCGAAAGCCUGAUGCAGCGACGCCGCGUGGGUGGUGAAGGCUUGCGGGUCGUAAA
rnacentral:rRNA from 1 species